GUUAUCCUACGGGACGCAGCAGUGGGGAAUAUUGCACAAUGGGGGGAACCCUGAUGCAGCGACGCCGCGUGAGUGAAGAAGUAUUUCGGUAUGUAAAGCUCUAUCAGCAGGGAAGAAAAUGACGGUACCUGACUAAGAAGCCCCGGCUAACUACGUGCCAGCAGCCGCGGUAAUACGUAGGGGGCAAGCGUUAUCCGGAUUUACUGGGUGUAAAGGGAGCGUAGACGGCAGCGCAAGUCUGGAGUGAAAUGCCGGGGCCCAACCCCGGAACUGCUUUGGAAACUGUGCAGCUCGAGUGCAGGAGG
rnacentral:rRNA from 1 species